GAAAAAGAAACAAUGAUUUAAUAUUUAACAAAUGAUGAAGAGUGAUGAACAUAUGGGCUUCAGUGAAAAGACAAACAUUUAUGUGAUAGUAAUUUAAAUUAAAUGCGCGGAUAAUAAUUAAUACAAAUAAAAACAAACAGUUUAUAAUUUUUCAUACGGUGAAAUGUCAUAAAGGUACAGCGCUAUGCAUUUUAAUAAGAUACAAACAUAACUGUCUUUAUUUAAUUAUUUUAACAAGCAUAACAUUGCCUCUAGAGCGCGUGCGCGCUGCGGGCGGUCCUUUGAGGAGAAAGAGCGGAAAGCGCGCGCUAAACUAAUGACGCGUUAUACAACAAACAACCGAUGGUAAUAUUAUAAUCUGGAUUUCCUGUCAAAAAUUACUCAGUUGACUCACACAAGGAUAACCAUUAACCAGAUGACAAAGUCUACUGGAGAGGGAAAUCUGACAUUUGACCCGUCAUAAUGACGGCGUUCAACUUCAUAGAGCCACACAAGCGCACCAGUUACUCAUGAAGGACCAGGUCAAGGGAUAAAGAGAAGGAAGAAAAUCAUUGAUGCCCUUGAGAAAGAACGACAAGAAUAUAAACACGUGACAUCAGGUGUAGAGCCGGAUGGAUUCAGUGCUAAACGGCUUCAAUGAGAUUUCGGAGGAUUUCCACUGUAAAUGCAUCUGUCACAAUUGCUCAUGGGGUCCUGAGUUUAUAGUCGCAGAAGCCACUGACGAAUUGGGAUACCAAAAGGUUUGGAGUUUCCCUCUCUCAGGUGUGCGGUGAUGGUCAGUCAAAGGUGUUUGGAGCUCAGCGGGGUGAAAUGAAGAGGUCUCUCGCUCUCAGCAGACGUGUUUUGCCGCUGCAGGAUUAGCUAAUGCGAUUAGCUGCAUCUCACAGUCAGCCUCACUGAAUGCACGUUGUAAUUACUGCACCUCAAUGAGGAAGGUGUGUGUGAAAGAUUAGGACAGGUGAGUGUUGGCCUGUGAUAGAUACGCUCUGCUAGCGCUCUCUCAGUGGCCACGUGUGUGUGUGUGUGCUUAAUAGACAAACCAAAUGAAGUCUGAGAGGUUGGUGUGUGACUGUUUAAAGCUUCUGUCUAGAGUUUUCUCACUGUCCAUGUCAACCUUUGUAUUACUUUUAAAUAUAUAUUAUACAGGGGCGUCAUGCACCAAUUUUUUUAAGGGGGCACAGUGUGCACAGCUCACAGAAAUUUGUGCAUACACAGACAUCAAACGAAAUAAUAUAGAGCUUUCAGUCUUUUCCAUGGCACUUACAUUUCUAACAAUCUGAACACCCCUGCUUUCAUGCAAAAACCUCCAAAAUAAAAGUGUUGACUUACUUUCGUAUCAAAUACUAUUCAAUCGAAAUAAUGACAUAUUGGUAUUAUAUUUACGUCUGAAACGGCAUGUUUUAUUUAUUUACAUUUUAUUAAAUGACUUGUUCAAUUGUGUCAUUAAUGCA